GAUUACAAUUACAAUGACUUCAACUUGACCGACCCUGUCGACUUCAACUUGACGGAUCUUGACUACAGCCAUGACUAUAUCGAAUUCAGCACUGACCUUGUCCACACUUCUUUUAAAGAGGAUGAGUCCAAUUUCAGGAACAAGGCCUCACGGAUUGGUCAGCUGAAGCUCGUGUUCCUGCUGGGAUUGGCUGUCCUUCAGAUGUGGAAUUGACAAAGAUCAUGGUGACGAUAACACGGUCAUCAAUGAUUCGUUUUAGUUAAAAUUACAUUACAACAUAAUGUCACGUUAUGCUGUAAUGACACAGGACCGAAAAUGGAACAAAAACCAACAUCGUCCACUUAUUGGCUAAAACUGUAAUAAA